AUGCUCUGGUAAUUGGAAUGAGAACUAAUUAACCCGUUAACGAGUAACCAUCAGAGGCAAGUCUGUGCCAGCAGCCGCGGUAAUUCCAGCUCUGAUAGCGUAUAUUAAAGUUGUUGCAGUUAAAAAGCUCGUAGUUGGAUUUUAGAGUAUAUUGAUAUGGUCUCUUGUGAUAAACUUGUUGUACUGUGUUAAUUACUCUUUCCUACUGGUUACUCGACUCUGUUCUUUAUUGCAUGGAGUAGUGUCGCAAGGCAUCGCUUAGUAUUUUAUUGCUUUUAGAUGUAGUAAUUGGGUAAAACUGGUUAUGAAACCUAAGGGAUCACAGUAAAGUAUUAAGUGGGGUUCCAGUUCAUUUACUUUGAGUAAAUUAGAGUGUUCAAAGCAGCCUGUAUGGGCAUUGAAUAGAUUAGCAUGGGAUAAUAGAAUAGGAUUCUUGUCUAUUUAUUGGUUUAUAGAUUUAGAAUAAUGAUU
rnacentral:rRNA from 1 species